GGAAGAUGUUGGACCAAUAACUCAAAUCUUCUACUCAAAAAGAAAUCAUAAUUUAGUAGCAGCAGCCACUAUCCAGCUAUGACCAAUCAAGGCAAUUUUUGCUGGAGAACAAUACAAUGUCUCACCAUUGCACUGCUUCCUCCUCGGUGUGGAUGUCAACGUCCGUUCAGGGGUCCACAUAUGGUGACAGAAGAACACUUGUUGGCACCAUCAGUUCCCAGCUCUGGACCUCUUCCAGCUCAGCGUAGCUCCAGACAUGUAUUGCCAGGUGAGGGUAAUUGACAGGCACGUGAGUCAACGAAAUGGGACUGAACUGCCGGAAAUACGGAGGGGACCCACUUCUAUUCACUGCCUGCACCUUCCCGGCUCCUGAAAAUAUAUGACUGUGGAGGAGUUGCACAUUUUUCUUCCUUAAAUACUCCUGAAAGCAUAGGGACAAACAGAGGAGUUUGGAGAGAAUAUUUGGGAAGAACAGAGAAUCAUUUUUGACAAGUAGAAAUGGCUGCCAUGUGACAUCAUUAACCUAACGAGGUGACUCAGUUGAAUCCCUCACCCCAUCCAAACAAAACCGCAAAGUCUUCAAUGCUUUGAAUGAUGCAGCAUUCCUCUACCUACAGGAUAUUUUUAAAUAUGGGACUGUCUCUUGAAGCCAAGGACCCAGCAGAGCUUUGUUUCUCUGGCUGAACUGUUAUUACUGGUUUUUACAUUGAAUUUGGUACUGCUGACAUUCCUAUCAACCACCGGGACUCUGCAGGAAGCACAGGCCUCGGGUAGUGAAGCUGUCUGAUUUAGUAUCAAUUUUUAACACAUACAAACUGCUGUUCAAAAAAGAAAAGCAAAAGUUAUUUAAAUAUAAAGCACAUGACAACAUAAAUCUUUCAGAUACGUGACUUUCUGAGCAAGAAAAACAACAAAGCCCAAGCAGACGUUUUGAAACCUGGACAACAAUGACCUGCAUCAGCUUUAACACUGCAAUUAUUGUUGUCCUGUGUUCAUAUUUUCUUUCUCAUGUUUUGAAUCAUUGGGUCAUGAGCAAUUGCAAAAAUCUGUGUGGACUGACAUGGACACCUGCUGGCCCAAUUGCUCCCUUCUGGCUCUCCUGUUGCUGCUUGGGAUGCCUACCCCCCACAGGUACACAAUGCAGCUGCCUGGGGAAUCUCCCUGCUUGGGAACAUUUGCAAUUUCCCACUGUGGUGGUUUAAAAUGAGAUGAGAUGGUGUCUGGGUGGCAGCUACAGACUGUGGCAUCUCUGGGGCAGUGGGCAACACAAAUACCCCUAUGAGUCCGGGGAAAGAAAGUCCUCUCUGGGCUUCCUUGAAUGUAAGCGUGAGUGGAGAGAGAUAGAAUAGCAUAAACCAAGUGAGGGAAAAAAUUCCCUAUGAAUGCAUUGUCUGUACUGUUACUUUGGGGUUUGGAGGGCAUUUCUGUGAGCAGAACGAAAAAACACUGCACAGCUGUGAUUGCAAGGCAGUCUAUUAUCUGCAUUAUCUCUCCUUAAGAUGGGCAGGAAUUCUUCAUUUCAUGCAUCAUUUAAAACUUGCUACAGUGAUCCCACAAAGUCAGUAGCUAUGCUAACUACAAAACUUUAAUAGUGUUGCUAUCAAGGCACAAGGCACCAAACUCAUUUCCCUGAAAGCUGCAGCAUUGGCUUAUACCACGAGACACUUGAAAUAUUGCAUCAGUACAACAACACUCGGGCGAACCCAACCACAGCUACUGGUGCAACCUCAGAAUUUCACAUUAUUCCAUGCUUUUUUGUGAUUUAUAUCUCGAUGAAGUCUUAUCUCCCCAGCCUACUGCCAUAGGCUAAUAGUCUGUAACAAAGCUCAGUCUCAAAAAUGUCAAACAUAAUGAAAAAGGGAAAAUCACAGCAGAGGAAGGUGGUGGUAGACUUUCCUAAGGGUACUUCUCUCGAGGGGUAUACAGGCUUCUUUGGUUCAUGAACUGAACCAAGGCAAGUGGGAUGCUGCUACACUGUGCUUCUGCUCCCUAACUGGAUCCAGAGCUCUUCUAGCAUAGGAGCACACACUGAAUGCAAGGAGAGAGACUGUCCUCUGCCAUCCAGAGGGAAACACAGCUUCUUUUUCUGUAGUGUAUUACCAACACCAUGCAGUGCUGCAGUGGUGAUCGUGCUCUUGUGUGAAGCUCACACUGCUCAAGUGUGAGGUUCUCCAGAAAGCACU
ensembl:lncRNA